AUGGGCGCCGCGGCGAGGAGGGCGGCCGAGCAGGAGCAAAGCUGCAAGGCCACGGAGGACUUCGACGCCGCCAAGCCGCCGCCCUUCCGCAUCGGCGACGUGCGCGCCGCCGUGCCCGCCCACUGCUGGCGCAAGAGCCCACUCCGGUCCCUCUCCUACGUCGCCCGCGACGUCGCCGUCGUGGCCGCGCUGGCCGUGGCCGCAUGGUGGCUAAACAGCUGGGCCGUGUGGCCGCUCUACUGGGCAGCGCAGGGCACCAUGUUCUGGGCGCUCUUCGUCCUCGGCCACGACUGUGGUCACGGGAGCUUCUCGGACAGCGGGACGCUCAACAGCGUCGUCGGCCACCUGCUGCACACCUUCAUCCUUGUCCCAUACAACGGAUGGAGGAUCAGCCACAGGACGCACCAUCAGAACCAUGGCCACAUCGACAGGGACGAGUCAUGGCACCCGAUUACCGAGAAUGUGUACAAGGAGAUGGAGCCAAGCACCAAGAAGCUACGCUUCUCACUGCCAUACCCGCUCCUGGCUUUCCCUGUCUACCUCUGGUACAGAAGCCCGGGCAAGAACGGCUCGCAUUUCAACCCAAGCAGCGAUUUGUUCAGCCCCAAGGAGAGGCUUGACGUGAUCGUCUCCACCACUUGCUGGUUCACGAUGAUCGCGCUGCUCAUCGCCAUGGCGUGCGUGUUUGGGCCGGUGCCGGUGCUCAAGCUCUACGGCGUUCCAUAUGCUGUGUUUGUGAUGUGGCUUGAUUUGGUGACGUACCUUCACCACCAUGGACACCAGGACCUCCCUUGGUAUCGCGGCGAGGAAUGGAGCUACCUCCGUGGUGGCCUGACGACCGUGGACCGGGACUAUGGAUGGAUCAACAACAUCCACCAUGACAUUGGCACUCAUGUCAUCCACCACCUCUUCCCUCAAAUACCUCACUACCACCUAGUAGAAGCAACCAAGGCAGCAAGGCCAGUUCUGGGAAGAUAUUACCGCGAGCCAGAGAAGUCAGGUCCACUGCCACUUCACCUCUUCCAUGUCCUCCUCGGGAGCUUGAGAGUCGAUCACUUCGUAAGCGAUGUUGGAGAUGUUGUAUUCUACCAAACUGACCCAAGCUUGAAUGGCGAUAACUGGACGAAAAAUGGCAAGCACAAGUGA
rnacentral:rRNA from 1 species